rnacentral:miRNA from 1 species
UAAGGAGCUCUAGAUAACCGUU